rnacentral:rRNA from 1 species
UUGAAAAGAACUUUGAAGAGAGAGUUCAAGAGUACGUGAAACCGUUCAGGGGUAAACCUAAGAAACCCAAAAGAUCGAACGGGGAGAUUCAUCGUCAGCGCCGUCGGCUUCGCGUCGGUGGGCGAUGUUCGCGCGAUUCUCGCGCGGGCACGCUGCCGUGCGCGCAUGACCGGUUGUCGUCGUCGUGCACUUCUCCCCUAGUAGAACGUCGCGACCCGCUGGGUGUCGGUCUACGGCCCGGGUGAGGUGUCUGUCGCGUCGCCGGUAAAACGGCACGCGGCAAACCCCCGGACGCCCGGCCGGCUGCCCGGCGGUACUCGCACGGUAUCAGGCCGCAGCUAGUCUGCGUCAAGCCCGUCGCAAGCGCGCGCCACGGUUACUCGGAGGCACGGACCUAGCGCCGUCCCCGGUCCUGGCCCGCUGUUGGCCGACGGUGAUCCUUUGACAGGCCUUACGGGGCGACGCGCGCGCGGUAGGCUUCGGCUGUUCCGCGCGCGCGCCCGCCCCGAUACCGGUCGGCGACGCUACUGCUUUGGGUACUCUCAGGACCCGUCUUGAAACACGGACCAAGGAGUCUAACAUGUGCGCGAGUCAUUGGGACUAGCAAAACCCAAAGGCGCAAUGAAAGUGAAGGUCCGCCUUGGCAACUUGGCACCGAGGGAGGAUGGGCCGCGUCGCGAUGCGGCCUCGCACUCCCGGGGCGUCUCGUUCUCAUCGCGAGAAGAGGCGCACCAAGAGCGUACACGUUGGGACCCGAAAGAUGGUGAACUAUGCCUGGUCAGGAUGAAGUCAGGGGAAACCCUGAUGGAGGUCCGUAGCGAUUCUGACGUGCAAAUCGAUCGUCGGAACUGGGUAUAGGGGCGAAAGACUAAUCGAACCAUCUAGUAGCUGGUUCCCUCCGAAGUUUCCCUCAGGAUAGCUGGCACUCGGCCGUUCUACGGAACGCGAGCGAGUCUCAUCUGGUAAAGCGAAUGAUUAGAGGCCUUGGGGCCGAAACGACCUCAACCUAUUCUCAAACUUUAAAUGGGUGAGAUCUCUGGCUUUCUUGAACGUUGAAGCCACGAGAAUCUCGGAUCAGAGUGCCAAGUGGGCCAUUUUUGGUAAGCAGAACUGGCGCUGUGGGAUGAACCAAACGCAGAGUUAAGGCGCCUAACUCGACGCUCAUGGGACACCAUGAAAGGCGUUGGUUGCUUAAGACAGCAGGACGGUGGCCAUGGAAGUCGGAAUCCGCUAAGGAGUGUGUAACAACUCACCUGCCGAAGCAACUAGCCCUGAAAAUGGAUGGCGCUGAAGCGUCGAGCCUAUACUCUGCCGUCAGCGGCAAGUGGGGCGGAGGUUGGUGACCAACGCCAGCCGCCGUCACGAAGCCCUGACGAGUAGGAGGGUCGCGGCGGUGCGCGCAGAAGGGUCU